rnacentral:rRNA from 1 species
GAUGAACGCUGGCGGCGUGCCUAAUACAUGCAAGUCGAGCGAACGGACGAGAAGCUUGCUUUUCUGAUGUUAGCGGCGGACGGGUGAGUAACACGUGGAUAACCUACCUAUAAGACUGGGAUAACUUCGGGAAACCGGAGCUAAUACCGGAUAAUAUUUUGAACCGCAUGGUUCAAAAGUGAAAGACGGUCUUGCUGUCACUUAUAGAUGGAUCCGCGCUACAUUAGCUAGUUGGUAAGGUAACGGCUUACCAAGGCAACGAUGCAUAGCCGACCUGAGAGGGUGACCGGCCACUCUGGACCUGAGACACGGUCAAGACUCCUACGGGAGGCAGCAGUAGGGAAUCUUCCGCAAUGGGCGAAAGCCUGACGGAGCAACGCCGCGUGAGUGAUGAAGGUCUUCGGAUCGUAAAACUCUGUUAUUAGGGAAGAACAUAUGUGUAAGUAACUGUGCACAUCUUGACGGUACCUAAUCAGAAAGCCACGGCUAACUACGUG